rnacentral:rRNA from 1 species
UGGGGAAUAUUGGACAAUGGGCGAAAGCCUGAUCCAGCCAUGCCGCGUGUGUGAAGAAGGUCUUCGGAUUGUAAAGCACUUUAAGUUGGGAGGAAGGGCAUUAACCUAAUACGUUAGUGUUUUGACGUUACCGACAGAAUAAGCACCGGCUAACUCUGUGCCAGCAGCCGCGGUAAUACAGAGGGUGCAAGCGUUAAUCGGAAUUACUGGGCGUAAAGCGCGCGUAGGUGGUUUGUUAAGUUGGAUGUGAAAUCCCCGGGCUCAACCUGGGAACUGCAUUCAAAACAGACUGACUAGAGUAUGGUAGAGGGUGGUGGAAUUUCCUGUGUAGCGGUGAAAUGCGUAGAUAUAGGAAGGAACACCAGUGGCGAAGGCGACCACCUGGACUAAUACUGACACUGAGGUGCGAAAGCGUGGGGAGCAAACA